rnacentral:lncRNA from 10 species
UGAAUAUAUUAGUGUUUACAAUGCCUUUAUUUUUUUUUUUUAGCCAUGAAGGGCAAACAGUGCCUUCAUUAAAUGUGUUCCUUUAAUGACAUCUUUAAUCUACAUAAUAAUUGUUUGCUUCCUUAAGUUUCUUCUCAUCAGCUGAAAGUUUAACUUUGCAAAUGGAAUAUUCUCAGAAGAGUGGUACUGUUAAUAGCGCUGAAUUCCUAACAAAAAGACACAAGAAGAUCUUGUGCAAAUUAACCAGGACCCAGGAGGAAGGCCAUGCUCAUAAAGUCAUCAUAAGAGAAGGGGAAGGUAUGAAUAUUGGCAGCUCCAGCAAAAAGCACUGAAUUAAUUUCUGUUGCUCAUGGACUAUUAUAAUUUCUUAAAAGUAAGAAACUUACAGAAAAUUAUUAUA